rnacentral:tRNA from 1 species
GGUUCAGUAGUUCAAUUGGUUAGAGCACUGCCCUGUCACGGCAGAAGUUGAGGGUUCGAGUCCCUUCUGAAUCGCCA